ensembl:lncRNA
AGUCAUCGGUCAGUCUGUCCUGAGCUGCUAGAGUCUCCCGCCUGUCCAGAGCCGCCGGUCUGCAAGGAGCCGCCAGAGCCGCCGGUCUGUAAGGAGCCGCCAGAGCCGCCAGUCUGUAAGGAGCCGCCAGAGCCGCCGGUCAGCCAGGAUCCGCCAGAGCCGCCGGUCAGCCAGGAUCUGCCAGAGCCGCCAGUCUGCAAGGAGCCGCCAGAGCCGACGGUCAGCCAGGAUUCGCCAGAGCCGCCGGUCAGCCAGGAUCCGCCAGAGCCGCCGGUCAGCCAGGAGCCGCCAGAGCCGCCGGUCUGCAAGGAGCCGCCAGAGCCGCCAGAUCCGCCGGUCUGCAAGGAGCCGCCAGAUCCGCCGGUCAGCCAGGAUCCGCCAGAGCCGCCGGUCAGCCAGGAUCCGCCAGAGCCGCCGGUCAGCCAAGAUCUGCCAGAGCCGCCAGUCUGCAAGGAGCCGCCAGAGCCGCCGGUCAGCCAGGAUCCGCCAGAGCCGCCGGUCAUCCAGGAGCCGCCAGAGCCGCCAGUCUGCAAGGAGCCGCCAGAGCCACCAGUCAGCCAGGAGCCGCCAGAGCAGCCAGAGCCGCCAGUCAGCCAGGAUCCGCCAGUUCCGCCAGUCAGCCAGGAUCCGCCAGAGCCGCCAGUCAGCCAGGAUCCGCCAGAGCCGCCAGCCAGCCAGGAGCCGCCAGAGCCGCCAUACAGCCAGGAGCAGCCAGAGCCGCCAGUCAGCCUGGAUUUGCCAGAGCCACCAGUCAGACAGGAUCCGCCAGAGCCGCCAUUCAGCCAGGAUCCGCCAGAGCCGCCAUUCAGCCAGGAUUCGCCAGAGCCGCCAGUCAGCCAGGAACCGCCAGAGCCGCCAGUCUGCAAGGAGCCGCCAGAGUCGCCUGUCUGCAAGGAGCCGCCAGAGCCGGCCUGUCUGCAAGUAGCUGCCAGAGCUGCCGGUCUGCAAGGAGCCGCCAGAGCCGCCAGAGCCGCCGGUCAAUCAGGAUCCGCCAGAGCCGCCAGUCAGCCAGGAGCCGCCAGAGCCGCCAGUCUGCAAGGAGCCGCCAGAGCCACCAGUCAGCCAGGAGCCGCCAGAGCCGCCAAUCAUCCAGGAUCCGCCAGAGCUGCCAGUCAGCCAGGAUCCGCCAGUCAGCCAGGAGCAGCCAGAGCCGCCAGUCAGCCAGGAUCCGCCAGAGCCGCCAGCCAGCCAGGAGCAGCCAGAGCCGCCAUACAGCCAGGAGCAGCCAGAGCCGCCAGUCAGCCUGGAUUUGCCAAAGCCACCAGUCAGCCAGGAUCCGCCAGAGCCGCCAUUCAGCCAGGAUCCGCCAGAGCCGCCAUUCAGCCAGGAUUCGCCAGAGCCGCCAGUCAGCCAGGAUCCGCCAGAGCCGUCAGUCAGCCAGGAUCCGCCAGAGCCGCCAGUCAGCCAGGAUCCGCCAGAGCUGUCAACCAGCCUAAGCUACCUCUCAGUCCUGAGCUACCUCUCAAUCCUGAGCUACCUCUCAGUCCUGAGCUACCUCUCAGUCCUGAGCUACCCCUCAGUACUGAGCUACCCCUCAGUCCUGAGCUACCUCUCAGUCCUGAGCUACCUCUCAGUCCUGAGCUGCCCCUCAGUCCUGAGAUACCCCUCAGUCCGGAGGAGUUUGUUUAG